rnacentral:lncRNA from 1 species
GAACUGGAAUGAUGGAUGCCCAGAGAAGCAGCGAGUGGACAAGAAACCAGAGCACUAUUUCUGUCCUUCCACCCGUCAGCUGCUCCAGUCCUUCAUCAAGCUCUCAGCCUGUUCUGAAGAGCAGGGCUCUUCCACCCAGGCAGCUGUACCAUGGGUAAAUCUUUUGGGCAUCUACGACUGUGGAACCUCUCUUUGGAUUGAGGGCAAGGGUCAACCGGAGGUCAAGGGAGAUCGGCAGUAUGUUAAGGCUCAAGGGAGCAGCAGCACCCUUCUGAGUGCACAGGUGGAGGAGUUUAACAGGAAGCUACGGGAGAAUCCUACGGACACUCAGCUGUGGCUGGACUUUGUAAACUUCACAGGAUGAACUGGCCUUUAAUUCUAGGUCAUUCUCGGCUGCCAGUGACACUGACAUUGAUGCUGAGAUGAAGAAAAUGUCUCUUCGUAUCUUGCUGGAGAAGAAGCUGUCCAUUGUGGACAGGGCAGUGGAAAGUAACCCUGCCAACGUGGACCUUAAACUGCAAGGAACUAUGGGAGCCUAACAUUUACAUUUACAUUUAUUCAUUUAGCUGACGCUUUUAUCCAAAGCGACUUACAAUUGCUAUAUAUGUCAGAGGUCGCACGCCUCUGGAGCAACUAGGGGUUAAGUGUCUUGCUCAGGGACACAUUGGUGUCUCACAGUGGAUUCGAACCCGGGUCUCCCACACCACAGACGUGUGUCUUAUCCACUGCGCUAACACCACACUGCAGAAAGACUGGAAGAAACUAGUGUUCAUCCAUCCAAACAGUGUGCCUUUAUGAAGGAAGCAUCUUCAUUUCGGUCAUUUCAGCACGUUCUCGGUGUCAAAGGUCAACAACGUGUUUCGAAAGUGUUUAAACACGCUCAGUGCAGUCCAGGAUGGCAGUAUGCUGUCUCACCCUCCACUUCCAGGCACCCAAGAAGACCUCUUUGAUUUUUUUUGAGCCAUUUUGGGACAGUGGAGAGCCCAGGAUUGGGGAACGGGGAGCUUGGGCAUGGAAAGCUUGGAUGCUUCAGCGGGAGAGAGGAAGAUGUGUGAUUCCACCUGAGCCAGAUAUGGGAAAUGGGUAAUGCUUGUUGUGUCAGCUAGCGAAACGGCUGAUAAAACAGCCAGGUAACGGCAAAGCUGUCUACAUUCUCACCCGAGGGUGCUGCCUGCACACCUUUCACUGGCCAGAUCAACCCAGUGGCCAUACUGAAGGCCUGAAAGACCUAUGAGCAAGCCGUCUUCAGCUUGGGCACAGGCAGCAAUGCUGGAG